ensembl:lncRNA novel transcript
GAGGGCCGGAGGCCGCGGCCUUCCCGGGCGGCGCCGGGCCAAGCCCUGCUGGACAGAGGCGCGCCCACCGCGGCCGCGCGUGGCGUCUGCCGAGGCCCCGUUUCUGGAAGCGUCUCUGGCCGAGGCUCCCGGCCACCUUGACCCCCGGGGCGCUCGGUGCGGGCCAGUCUCCCCGCGGGCGCCCCCAAGCCCGACCCCUUCCAGUAGCCCCAUUCAUCUGUCGCGAACGCCCUCCGGGUCCCUCCCGCCUACCUCUGACACCCUCCCCGCCCUUCAACUCCUCACACACCCCCGGGUGCCCCAGCCCGGCAGAAACAACCUAAAGACCCUGAGCUUUGAGUCGCAGCGGCCUCCCCAGCCCAGCAGUCUAAUUGGACAGGUUGGAAAACGGAAGCCCAGAGAAGGAAGAUCUUGCUGAAGGCCGCACAGCUGUCCAGAGGCAGAAAUGGGGCUGGAACCCCGGGACCAGGGCUUGCGUCCUGAUCCCAGGAAGUUGUCUCAGGAUCGAUGUGGACCGUGUUUGUUUGUUUCGGUUUUUCUUAGGUGCAGACACUCCUGCAGCAGAUGCAAGAUAAAUUUCAGACCAUGUCUGACCAGAUCAUUGGGAGAAUUGAUGAUAUGAGUAGUCGCAUUGAUGAUCUGGAAAAGAAUAUCGCGGACCUCAUGACACAGGCUGGGGUGGAAGAACUGGAAAGUGAAAACAAGAUACCUGCCACGCAAAAGAGUUGAAGUGCAUUCUCCUGAAAACAUAAGACCAUUUGACUGAUUCUGCUCCAGAAUCUUAUUGAGGCAAAGGACUGGACCGAAUUAUUCAUGGAACAGAAGCCUAGGACUGAUAGGAAACACCCAGGGAGAAGGCCACGUGAUGAUGGAGGCAGAGACUGGAGUGACGCAGCUGGGAGCCAGGGAACAUCAACGAUCACCAAGUGUCUCCAGGAACCAUCAGGAGCUGGAGGGGCGGGAAGGAUCUUCCCGGGAGCAUGGAUUUGUAGACACCUUGAUUUUGGACUUCUGCCCUCCAGAACUAUGAAAGGGCAGGACAGCCGUGUCCUACAUUUCCCGCCAUUUCCCCAUGGUGAUGGAGCUGCAGGGGUCCUGAGAGAGGGACGCUCACAAGGUCCCCGCACCACUUCCCGAGGGUCCCAGAAUGACAGAUUCGUAUUCUAAAGGAAAUGAAUGGGGUGCUGAAAGGAAUGCUCUCAGAAUGGUUUUCCUCCGGGUUCCUGAACCUAGAACGGGUUACCUGGCAUUCACCGUGUGAAGUGCUUCAGAAAAUCAGUGAGGCUGAGGCUGUGCAUCCUGUAAAAAACUGGAUGGACAUGAAGCGCCGCGUUGGGCCCUACAGAAGGUGUUACUUCUUUUCUCACUGUUCGACCCCUGGGGAGCCCCUGGUCGUUUUGCACGUGGCACUGACUGGUGACAUCUCCAGCAACAUCCAGCAACAGGCUUGCCUCGUGGGCUGCAGAGCGGCCAGGCCACCCUUAGAACCAUCGUUGGUGUUUUCCAGGCAAUCGUGAAGGAACAUCCUCCAUCAGAAACAGAAGAGAAGAACAAAAUCACUGCUGCGAUCUUUUAUUCCAUCAGCUUGACCCAGCAGGGACUCCAAGGGGUGGAGCUGGGAACAUUCCUCAUAAAGCGAGUCGUCAAGGAGUUGCAGAGAGAGUUUCCUCACCUUGGGGUGUUUUCAAGUCUGUCACCUAUACCUGGUUUCACCAAAUGGCUUCUGGGGCUUCUGAACUCGCAAACGAAGGAGCAUGGGAGGAAUGAACUCUUUACAGAUUCGGAAUGUAAGGAAAUCUCGGAGAUCACAGGUGGCCCCAUUAACGAGACCCUCAAGCUCCUCCUCAGCAGCAGCGAGUGGGUGCAGUCGGAGAAGCUGGUGCGGGCGCUGCAGACUCCGCUGAUGAGGCUGUGCGCCUGGUACCUGUAUGGAGAGAAGCACCGCGGCUACGCGCUGAACCCCGUGGCCAACUUCCACCUGCAGAACGGGGCGGUGCUGUGGCGCAUCAACUGGAUGGCGGAUGUGAGCCUCAGAGGCAUCACCGGCUCCUGCGGCCUGAUGGCCAACUACCGCUACUUCCUGGAGGAGACGGGCCCCAACAGCACCUCCUACCUCGGCUCCAAGAUCAUCAAAGCCUCUGAGCAGGUCCUCAGCCUAGUGGCCCAGUUUCAAAAGAACAGCAAGCUCUGACAGUAAACCUCUCCUAAAGCACAGGGCCCCGGCUAAGAAAACGAUCAUUUUCAGGAGGGGCCGGGAGUUAUGUAUCUGAAGCAGCUUUCCAAGCAAAGCCAAAGUUGACUGUGUUCUUGUCCCGCAGCCGGUCCACACUGUGAGGCCAGGCCUCAACUUCCCUCACCCUGGGCGUGACAUGCACCCAGUGCAAGACGGUUGUGGGUGCGGGUGCACACAAAUGAGUGGGUUGCUGUGCUGUCUCCGGAAGAUUCUGUCGUUGCCCUUGGCCUGGCUCCCUGCCCGGGGCUGGUGCUGUGGUACCUACAUCUUCAGGAAGCUGUGCAGCCUCUGCCAUUGCCAUCCCAGGGGGAUCUGGCAUCCUCCUAAGGACCGGGGCGCGUGGCCCAGAUAAGAAUAGGUGUUCCUUUGUGCUCAUAAAACAGAAUGCGGCGAUGGUUGCUUUAGCCGUUUCUCACCAUGCAAUGCAGAGGGACAAAGGGCUGUGCUACACUUCCCAGUUACAUUCUGAAGCUCAUAAAUGUAUGAGAAGGUUUGUGAUUUUGCACAAGGUGUGUGUAGUAAGUUAAAUUGUUGAACACAAAAAUGUUGCUGCUUGAGGCAUAAGUUGGAUAAUAGGCUUUAAAUGAUCAGGGAUUCAGGUUCAUAAUGAACUUCACAGUAAAGAACACGUUUGUUCUGUAA